rnacentral:misc_RNA from 1 species
GGAACCAUAAAUGUUCACUGCCUGCUCACGCAUUAGAAAGAACAUUACAGCAAUAUAAUUUGUCCAGGAUGUACCCUGUCAAAAUAUUAGCAAAAAAAGAAAAAAAAAAAAGAAUCUGAAUCUGAAUCCAUUUUCACAAGAAGCUGAUUAAUUCCACAUUGUAAAUAGUUGGCAAAUGCUAUUCUCCCAUUGUAGCACCACAGUCUCACCACAAAGAUACAUAUGCUAAUAGAUACACCAACACAAUCCAAUAUGGUAUUUCCAAAAUUCAGCUUCUAUUUCCUUUUACCAUCACAAUGUGGCGGACUUAAAAUACAUAAAAAUAAUUGAAAAAAUGUCCUAUUAAAAAUAAUUUUAUAUAUUAUUCAUUUAACAAUUACCAUAUAUUUAAUAAAUAAAGUAAAAUUUUACUAGUUAAUUAUUAUCCGAAAAUUUAUAGAUUUAAAUUAAAAUAAAAAAUAACAUAAAAUCAAUGAUAAAAAAAAUUCUUUGAUGAACAAUGAAAAUAUUUUAAUGUAAUAUAUAUAAGUUUAUUUAAAAUUUUAAAUAAAUAAUU